UACGUAGGGACCAAGCGUUGUUCGGAUUCACUGGGCGUAAAGGGUGCGUAGGCGGUCGGGUAAGUCUGAUGUGAAAUCUCACAGCUUAACUGUGAAACUGCAUUGGAUACUAUCCGGCUAGAGGAAUGGAGGGGAGACUGGAAUACUUGGUGUAGCAGUGAAAUGCGUAGAUAUCAAGUGGAACACCAGUGGCGAAGGCGAGUCUCUGGACAUUUCCUGACGCUGAGGCACGAAAGCCAGGGGAGCAAACGGG
rnacentral:rRNA from 1 species